UACAGGGGGUGCAAACGUUGCUCGGAAUUACUGGGCGUAAAGCGUGCGUAGGUGGUGAGUUAAGUCUGUCGUGAAAGCCCCGGGCUCAACCUGGGAAUGGCGAUGGAUACUGGCUCGCUAGAGUGCGGUAGAGGAGAGUGGAAUUCCCGGUGUAGCAGUGAAAUGCGUAGAGAUCGGGAGGAACAUCAGUUGCGAAGGCGGCUCUCUGGACCAGCACUGACGCUGAGGAGCGAAAGCCAGGGGAGCAAACGGG
rnacentral:rRNA from 1 species